AAAUAUGUUCUAUGUUUUCAGCCCGGUGUCUGUACGUUACCAAUAAUGUACGAUAAGUCAAUUGGGGUAAAUCGUUAUUGGCAGCCCCGGAGGUACAAAUGGUGGGGAAUAUUAGUUGCCACGCAUGCCACCAUUAUCUUUGCUUUACUUGUACGAUGGUUAAUAACUCGUUGUCCGAAAGACAUUAAAGAAACAGUAAGAACCGAAAAAUACAUAACGUAUAGAUAUUAUCUGGCUAAAGGAAUAACAAAAUAGAAGAUGAAAGAAAUGUUUUUAU